rnacentral:rRNA from 1 species
AUUGAACGCUGGCGGCAGGCCUAACACAUGCAAGUCGAACGAGUGGCGGACGGGUGAGUAAUGUCUGGGAAACUGCCUGAUGGAGGGGGAUAACUACUGGAAACGGUAGCUAAUACCGCAUACCAUAGGAUGUGCCCAGAUGGGAUUAGCUAGGAGGGGGGGUAAAGGCUCACCUAGGCGACGAUCCGUAGCUGGUCUGAGAGGAUGACCAGCCACACUGGAACGGUGACACGGCCCCGACUCCACCGGGAGGAGCCAGUGGGGAAUAUUGCCCAUUGGCGUCAAGCCUGAUGCAGCCAUGCCGCGUGGUUAAAGAAGGCCUUCGGGUUGUAAAGUACUUUCAGCGGGUAGGCGUUACCCGCAGAAGAAGCACCGGCUAACUCCGUGCCAGCAGCCGCGGUAAUUC